UUUUCACCUUUUGAGGUAAAGGUGGCCUCUGCUUGCAUGCUACCGCUUGGGGAUGAGUCCGCGUCUCAUUAGUUUGUUGGUGGGGUAAUGGCCUACCAAGACUACGAUGAGUAGCUGGUCUGAGNNGAUGAUCAGCCACACUGGGACUGGAACACGGCCCAGACUCCUACGGGAGGCAGCAGUGGGGAAUAUUGCGCAAUGGGCGAAAGCCUGACGCAGCGACGUCGCGUGAGGGAAGAAGGCUCUCGGGUCGUAAACCUCUGUCAGGGGGGAAGAAACCCUUGGACUCGAAUAGGGUCCUUGGCUGACGGUACCCCCAGAGGAAGCACCGGCUAAUUCAGUGCCAGCAGCCGCGGUAAUACUGAAGGUGCGAGCGUUAAUCGGAAUCACUGGGCGUAAAGCGUGCGUAGGCGGCGCGGUCAGUCAGAUGUGAAAGCCCUCGGCUCAACCGAGGAAUUGCAUUUGAUACUGCCGUGCUAGAGUCUCGGAGAGGUUGGCGGAAUUCCAGGUGUAGGAGUGAAAUCCGUAGAUAUCUGGAGGAACAUCAGUGGCGAAGGCGGCCAACUGGACGAGUACUGACGCUGAGGUACGAAAGCGU
rnacentral:rRNA from 1 species